GAUGAACGCUGGCGGCGUGCCUAAUACAUGCAAGUCGAGCGAACAGACGAGGAGCUUGCUCCUCUGACGUUAGCGGCGGACGGGUGAGUAACACGUGGAUAACCUACCUAUAAGACUGGGAUAACUUCGGGAAACCGGAGCUAAUACCGGAUAAUAUAUUGAACCGCAUGGUUCAAUAGUGAAAGACGGUUUUGCUGUCACUUAUAGAUGGAUCCGCGCCGCAUUAGCUAGUUGGUAAGGUAACGGCUUACCAAGGCAACGAUGCGUAGCCGACCUGAGAGGCUGAUCGGCCACACUGGAACUGAGACACGGUCCAGACUCCGACGGGAGGCAGCAGUAGGGAAUCUUACGAAAUGGGCGAAAGCCUGACGGAGCAACGCCGCGUGAGUGAUGAAGGUCUUCGGAUCGUAAAACUCUGUUAUUAGGGAAGAACAAAUGUGUAAGUAACUAUGCACGUCUUGACGGUACCUAAUCAGAAAGCCACGGCUAACUACGUG
rnacentral:rRNA from 1 species